rnacentral:rRNA from 1 species
GGGUGCGAUCAUACCAGCAUUAAUGCACCGGAUCCCAUCAGAACUCCGCAGUUAAGCGUGCUUGGGCGAGAAUAGUACUAGGAUGGGUGAUCUCCUGGGAAGUCCUCGUGUUGCAACCC